GCUAGGCCUUGGUAGUCAGCCUCAGGUGGAGGGAUUGGCCAAAUAAGGGAACAGACCUUGGGGUCUAGCUUUCGGAAUAUAUAAUGUCUUUUUAGAAAGAGAGAAUGAGAGAAUGGUAAGGCUUGCCAGAGCCAUGCUCGCCAAGCUUAAGCCGGCCAGAGUCCCUUCAAACCUCCAGUAUCAUAAUAAAUAACUCGCUACAGUUGUAUGUGUUGUAUUUCUGUAGACGAAUUUUGUGUUUGAAGAAAAAAUAUGGCCAACCCUGAAGCUGUCAGAUGUCCUGGCUGGAAGCAUAUAGCUAAUGUCUCCUUUGUCAGAGCACUAUCCAUUGACAAGAGCAUAGCAGUCUGGACUUCUGGUACUGUCUUCUAUGGGGACAUUCUUCUCUCUACCAGCUAUAAAUAUUUAUUCUCGCCACAAAUAUUAGUAAGUACCUACUAGGUCCUCUUCUAAAUUGAUGGGUAAAAAGCAGAAUUAUAGCUGGCCUGUUCAAGGGCAGUAUGUUUGAAGAAGCAGACCACAGCAGGAGCAGCAACAAAUCCCAGCCACAGGUACGGGUUAGCCUGGGCAACAAGGGCCUGUAUCAGCAACAGAACAUGUUGACAUUGUACAGAUGGGUCAAGUAAAGCCCAGGAAGUUCAUUAGUAGCUCGCCAUGCUCAUCCUGUAUGGGAAAGGGGAGGGAAUAUGGGUAAGAACUAAGUCUGGGGAUUAAUCAUGUGUUCUGGUGUUCUGGAGACCCCCAGCCCCUGCUCUUAGGCUUGCAACUUGUUUCAGUACUCAUUAGCACAUCUCAACCAAGCCUGGGCCUGUGCACCCUCAGAAUAACAAGAGUUACUUCAUGGCAAGCUCUCCAAGCAGCUGGUAUCCCACCUAGAUAAUUAGAACAGGUUCCAUGUGCCAAUUUGGCCUCACUUUCUCAUUUUGACCCUGCUCAACUUGCCAGUAAGUACUCAGACACUCCAAGAAACACUGCGCCUGGGUGUUUACUUAACAGCCUGAUAGCAUUUAAAUUACUGUAGGCCAUAACCUUCCCUGGGUGCUUCAAGAUCAGUCUCUGCGACAGACUAGCUGGUGUAUUAAGAUCAGUCUCUGCGACAGACUAGCUGGUGUAUUAACUGUACUAACUCAAGCUGUGAGUGGAGGGCAAGAGGAAACAUUCUAAAUGUGACCCUUGGAUGAGUGUCAGGCAUGGUGGGUCAUGACAAUACUCUUAGUGGCUCUGAGGCAGAAGUAGGAGGAUCAUAAAUUCAAGCAUAUCCUGGGUUACAGAUGUAAGACACUGUUAAAAAAAAAAUCACUUAAGAAAUGCCCAUAUUGGGGUUGGGGAUGUAGCUCAGUGGUAGAGCGCUUGCCUAGCAAGCGCAAGGCCCUGGGUUCGGUCCCCAGCUCCGGAAAAAAAAGAAAAGAAAAAAAAAAAGAACUUUUGCAACAAAGGUGGGGAAUGCCUCUGGGAUACACAACUGUGAUGUAUCCUUAUUCCUGCUUGGUUUCUUUCUUCAGUUACCUUUUGUUAUGAGGGAGGGUGGGCAACUAGGAGGCACACUGAGACAGGGUCUCUACAGAACCCUGGCCUAUUCUGCAGGCCAGACUGUCCUGGAGGACAUGGUAGUCCUUCUGUCUCAGCCUUUGAAAUGCUGGAAUCCCAGGAAUCCUGGCCUAUUCUGCAGGCCAGACUGUCCUGGAGGACAUGGUAGUCCUCCUGUCUCAGCCUUUGAAAUGCUGGAAUCCCAGGAACUCACCACCACACUUGGCUCUCUCAGAAGAGAUCCUUCCCUUGGUCAAGGUUUCAACAGUUUAACCUCUGAAUGGGCAAGACCCUGGUUACCCACGCCCUGGACAAGGGCAGCAAGCCCAGAACUUUCCUCUGCUUCUGCCCUUCCCUCUAGGGAGCAAUUGUUAUGAAUAGGUCCUUUCUGAAGCCUGUAGAAGGCCAGCUUGUCUUGUCGGCAUAAAAGGCAGGGUUGGGUCUCAAAGCCAGACUUGUGGGCCCACAGGGAAGCUCAGGAAAGGGCUUGGGCCUUCUCUGCAAGUGCAGCUACUGCAGUCUCUACCAUAUCAGCAAGAGCUCAGUCCUGCCAGGCAUGAUGACACACACCUCUAACCCCAGCCUUGAAGGGUAAAGCAAGGAGUUCAAGGCUAGUCUCAGUGACAAGACCUAAUCUCUAAAAACUAAAACCAAAUCAAACCGACAAAAGCUCAGGCCAAUCCUGGCUCUAAAGGUACAGUCAGACUGCCAGGCCUACAACACUCCCAUCUCCCUGUGGGGACAGCCUUCCUGAACUCAGAACUUACUGGGCAGAAGAAAAGGGAGCAUUCACUAGACAGCUGAUCUGGUUCCCAAUCUGGCUUGGCCCUGGCAGAUAGAUUAAUGGAAUGCAAUCAGGUACAUAAUUUAGAAACCUAGGGGAAAGCCUGCAGCCAUGACUACGGAUGGUUGGCAGAGUAAAAACAGACUUUGGAAUUGAGUAAUGGUAUAACUUUAACCCAGAAGAGAAAGGUUGCAAAACCAAGCUUUUGAAGGAAACACAUUCAAAGUUCCCUGUUUUCAUGUGACUAUGAGAGGGGCUGUUUCGGCACUCUAUGGGCUGAUUUUUAGAGAGGAAGGAGACUCAGUUGAGGGAACGCCUCCAUGAGAUCCAGCUGUAAGGCAUUUCCUCUCAACUAGUGAUCAAUGGGGAAGGACCCCGCCCAUUGUGGGUGGUGCCACCCCCACCCCCCACCGCUGGCUGGUGGUCCUGGGUUCUAUAAGAAAGCAGGCUGAGCAAGCCAUGGGGAACAGACAGUAAGCAGCAUCCUCCACGGCCUCUACCUCAGUUCUUGCCUCCAGGUUCCAGCCCUGGCUCCCAGCUUGAGUUUCUGUCCUGACUUCCUCCAUUGAUGAACUAGUCCCCUCCUGGCUGCCUGCAGAAGAAAGUCUCCUUGCUGCCUUCUGAUCAAGACAUAGAACUCUCAGCUCCUCCAGUACCAUGUCUGCCUGCCCAAUACCAUACUUUUGGCCAUGAUGAAAGUGAACUGAACCUCUGAAACUGUAAGCCAGCCCCAAUUAAAAGUUGUCUUUUGUAA